rnacentral:rRNA from 1 species
GACGAACCGUGCGAACGUUGUUCGGAAUCACUGGGCUUAAAGGGCGCGUAGGCGGCCAGCCAAGUCCGGGGUGAAAGCCCCCGGCUCAACCGGGGAAGGGCCUUGGAUACUGGCUGGCUGGAGGGAGGUAGGGGCAGCUGGAACUUCCGGUGGAGCGGUGAAAUGCGUUGAUAUCGGAAGGAACGCCGGUGGCGAAAGCGGCAUCCUGGCCCUGAACUGACGCUGAGGCGCGAUAGCGUGGGGAGCAAACGGG